UUAUUGAUAAAAUUUCAGCAGUAAUCAAGCAGUGCUCAUGCGCACACAACUAAUAUGCAGAUAAACGUAAAUAUACAAUUUUUACUCUUACGCCUAAGUUCUUUACCAAAUCAUCAGAUGUUUUUGAAAAUAGACAAACAAGAUAUGAUAUCGACUUUUUAUCAAAUAUGGUUUUCUAAUAAAGAAAGACUAAGACUCAAAACUGUCUGUUCUUAUGGGGAUUAGGAUACCUGUGGAAAGUCACGCAUUCUCAUCUGGCAGACGGCUGAUCAGUUGUUGUCAUUUGAAACCAGACUCGUGUUCAAGUACUUGACCUUUACAUUGAAAUUAAUCUUACAAAUCGGCCUUUUCCCUAGAAACCUCUUGACAGAAGUAACUUCCAAGGAUGAACCAAGACUAUUAUACAGCAUCUAAAAUUAGUAUACAGCAAGGAUAGAGUUUAUUUUUGGUGAUUUGUCUCCCGUACAAACAGGUAUGUGUAUCUAAUAAAGACGGCUGUCAAGAAAAUCGCGUGUUAUUUGAGCUUGACAUGGGGUUGCGUUCGGCUUCAUUAUAAUUCGGGAAUUUGAUUCCCCCAAUUUUUUAUCUGCUGAAUCGAAAGAAAUAACACCAAUCUUUGCUCAAAGUGCAAAAUUUCUGCGAAAAUCCAUGUACCAUCGGUUUUAUAAGCCCCUAAUUUAGACUAUUAUUCAAGUCGACAUUUUUUAUUGACAUGUUUAGACAGCAAUAAAAUAUCCUUUUUUUGUCGGAAAAAGUGAAGAAACCACUCGAUUUAUACCUUAUCAACUCCUUUCUAAGGAUCUGUAUCGCUAUUUUUAAUUCCG